AUACGUAGGGGGCGAGCGUUGUCCGGAAUGAUUGGGCGUAAAGGGCGCGUAGGCGGCCCGGUAAGUCUGGAGUGAAAGUCCUGCUUUUAAGGUGGGAAUUGCUUUGGAUACUGUCGGGCUUGAGUGCAGGAGAGGUAAGUGGAAUUCCCAGUGUAGCGGUGAAAUGCGUAGAGAUUGGGAGGAACACCAGUGGCGAAGGCGACUUACUGGACUGUAACUGACGCUGAGGCGCGAAAGUGUGGGGAGCAAACAGGAUUAGAUACCCUGGUAGUCCACGCUGUAAACGAUGAAUGCUAGGUGUAGGGGGUAUCGACCCCUUCUGUGCCGCAGUCAACACAAUAAGCAUUCCGCCUGGGGAGUACGGCCGCAAGGUUGAAACUCAAAUGAAUUGACGGGG
rnacentral:rRNA from 1 species